AGCCGGGUCCCGCGCAAUGAUUAUUUGCCAACCCCGCCAGGUCCGGAAGGAAGCAACGGUACGCAUUCCCAAUCAUGUGCCGCGGGGGUGCCUGGUUGCC
rnacentral:SRP_RNA from 1 species